rnacentral:snRNA from 1 species
AACUCCUACGGGAGUGCCAUUUGUUAAAGUUGGAACGAUACGGAGACGAUCAGCAUGGCUCCUGUGCAAGGAUGACACAGCCUGAUGGAUAUGAUCAUUUG